rnacentral:lncRNA from 1 species
GUAUCUAGUACAUUACUGAUUUUGUAACGAUUUUAAAUUCAAUAAAAAAAACUAUAUUUAUGAGAUAUAAUUAUAACCCUGUUCAAGGUAGACAAUCAACAUAUUGACUUUAUGAAAUUAAACAUAGACUCAUAGUUCAAAGGAAUAUAACUCUUGUAUACAAAUGACACAUCAAUCGAGUUAUUUAGCUGCGAAUUCGUGCACCACCUUCAAGGAAGAUUCUAAAUUAUCAAUAUAACCACAAGUUGUUAAUCUAUAGAUACUGACGACUAUUGAAUGCUAACCACAGUAAAGAAUAUUUGUUUGAAAUUUUUUAACACUUACUCAGAAAAAUGCUCGAACUACUAGACUUUCAAAGCUCAUAAUUAACG